CGGAGGGCGGUGCUGGCACCGCCGCCGCUCCCACAGCGUUAUUUGUCAGGAUAACAUGUUUUGUUUGUUUGCCAAAGAAUAUAUUUGAUCAAAGAUCUCGGGGCUUAUCUGUCUCAAUGUUUUUGUCAUUGAUUAUACAACGUCUGUGUUUUCUAGGUCACUUACGUAUUAUGCUUCUAUAUGAGCAUGUCAAAGAAAUGUAUUCACUAAUAAUCUCUGAAUGUAUUUACGUAUUUGGAAACCUGUUUUACCAAAAAUAUUUGAAUCUGAAAUGUGUGAUUCGUAUCCCAGCAAACUGACAUGGGAAUGGAAGUUGGAACUUGACGGGAAGUAUGGAAUGGCACAUCCUAAAAAUAGAAGUGCAACAGCACUGACUCAAGACCAAGUCAUCCCUUACAGGAAUUAUCUACAAAGGAAACGAAAUUUCAUGGCAUCUCUCUGUCAUCCUUCCCUGCAGAUGGUGCCUCCAAAUCCCUUCUGA
rnacentral:lncRNA from 1 species